AGAUAUUGUCUAGUUACGACGAACCCAGCCGGUCUAGAAAACCACACCCACAGUUUCAAAAAAGGAAACUACUUGCAGCCCCACUUGUUCUGCUAAAUUCACUGAACCCAUACUUCACGCCAAUGGAUUUCAAUUUCAUCAAAUUCAAUCAAUCCUCCUCAUUCUCAUCUCACAAAUCUCUUCGUCAGAAACACAUUCGUUUGCUGAUUCAUCAGGUUGAAAAUCUACAGAUCUCGAAUCAGUCGAGAUUCAAUUCCACAUGUGUUUAGAAAUCAGUGAAGAACUUUGACAAAAUAAAUUUGAGUAGAUCUAAUUUAUGGAAGUAAGAAGAAUGAAUAUGAAUAUGAGCUCUCAUAAACGCAGCAGCAGCAGCAGCGGUAGUGGUGGUGGUAUUACUACAACGGUGGUGCAGCAGGAGUACGAAAAGCACCGAUCAUCAUCAUCAUCAAAUAGUUACAGCUAUGGAGAUAAAAAAAUGAUGAUGAUAUCGAAACCAAAAUCAAAGAACAGGAGCAGCUACUUCAGCUUGGAAUCAAUGCUGGUGCUGGUAGGCCUAGCGGCGUCGUUGUUGAUACUGCCUCUGAUACUACCGCCUCUUCCUCCACCGCCGCUGAUGCUGCUGCUGCUGCCGAUCUUCAUUAUGGCUGUUCUGAUGGUGUUCGCAUUCAAGCCUUCUUCUUCAGCGUCUACUGCUCGUCACAAGGCGAUCGCCUAGAUCUCCAUUUUGUGAUAGUUUUAAGAGAUGUAAAGAAGGAUCAUACUGUUAGUUACGGAAAUUGUUCAUCAUUAUUUUAUUUCUGAAUUUGUAAUUUACUGAGUAUGUUAAUUUGGUUCCUAAAAUACACGUUUUGUUUGAAAAUAAAUAGCUUUUACAAGCUGGAUUAUUCGUGGACGA